UUUUUUUUUUUUUUUUUUUUUAUAAAUAUGGGGAAACCAAAGCUCAUGAUUGUAACUACUCUGUACCUUUUCACCAGAGUAUAAUUUUUUUUUUUAAGGACUUUUUUGUUCACCUUCAGCUCAAGUUGUCAUCUAGGUUUCCUAAAUUACAGAACCCUAACUCUUCGUGGAAGGCUUCGCUCUUUUACAUGUGAUGAAAUGGGAGGGCAUUCCUACAUUCUUUGUUACAGGAGAGGGAGAUGGUGUGGUGAAAUGGGAAGUCACUUGGAAUCACGAGAGAAGAGUUCAUAUUUAAAAAUUCAUACUGAAAACAAUGAAGUCAGAUAAAUCACUGCAGGUUCUAUGUUAAAAAAUUGAAAUGCUUUGAUUGGAGGCUUAUGUUGUAAAUCUAAAUAUGCCUAAUGUGGCAAAGCUUUCAUGACGGAUCUUUUCUAAUAUGCUUUUCUUUCAAAAUUUUGAAGCUCAGAACCGAGCUUUAUUCAUUUUAACAAGCAGAAUAUUAUGAUUGGCCGCUAAUUAUAGGGUUAAUCUUUAGUUCUUGACUUGAUGUGACAAUUGUUUCCCUUUGUCUAAUUAUAAGGACAUGAAUAUCCUGCUCCAUUGUUGCUUGAUAAAAGAACAGUAGUAGCAUGCUUGUGGAUGAUGUAUCGGUGACUAGCGGAAUAGUUCAAGGCAAUAUAUGCCAAUUGUUUUAUACGUCACGAUGUAUGAGCUUAAUGCGGUGCAUUGAAGAGAUAUCAAUUACUACUUUCUAUAUUUAUGAUAUGCUGUAAUGUGGGUUUUCAUAUUGGACAGGAAAAGACGAGGAAAGAAAUUCUCAGGAAUCAAGUUGGUCGUGUCUCCCUGUUCAUCGCGUUACUCAUUGGUCUAGUAGGUGUGCUAAUUGGGUACUUUAUCAGAUGAAGCGAGUAUUCCAGAGCAGGCAAUUUGCAUGGAAAGAUGCUAUUAUUGUUAGUGCCAUUUGAUAAUCCAUUUCUUUUUGAACGUCGAAAUUUAGUUUAUCAUGUCUUCCUUUCAAAAAUUUUGUAGACAAAUACCAUUGAUCAUUUUACAUGUGAGGGACUGGUUUCUGUGGAAUUUCAAAGGGACCUUGCCUUUUUCUGGGUGUUUGUUUUGUCAAGUUGAAGGGGGGGAAAGUAGCAGUCAAGAUAGAGAAGGAUUGGGAGUUUAUGGCUGCAGCGGAGUUUGAUGACAGCUCGUUUGUGAUUGGUGAAUGUCAGCUGUGACUGCUUCGGUGCGUCGUCUGUAGAGGGUGGUGCUUUCUUCUCUACAGAAUUGUUAAAAGCUGUCCUGUGGCUCCUGGUUUAAGUGACCUUGCCUGCAGAAAAGUACAACAAUACUAUUUAUUUGAAAAAAGAAUCACCGUACAACAAUUUGUAAAAUUCCAACUUUUUUCUGAGACUCUUUAAGGAAAAAGAAGGUGAACCACAAACCUCACGAUCACCACUGCUGCUGGGAGAUUAAUUAAUUUCUAAACUGGAACGUACUCCUAAAAAGUUGGAAUGUGCGCUAUAGUGAAACAGGUACUCUGCCACUGGUCAUUUGGUCCGAUAGUCAUCACUCUUUUUGAUGAUGCUGGAGGUUAGGGGUAUGGUCCGGGGUUCUAUCCUGCCUUCCUUAAAUUUGCCACAUUAUGAGGCUGAUUUUAGUUGAUCAUCUCCCCUUAUUUCUUUCCUCUAGAUUAGGCUAGAUUAGAUUAUAGGACAUCUAUCGUUAUCGAAAAAAAAAAAAAAAAAAGUGAGACAGGGACACUGCGUUUUUUUUUAACAGGCACUCUGCAUUGAACCAUAGAUUUGUUAUCUUGGAAUCUGCUAUCAUUGAAAUAGAUUUGUUGUAUUGAAUUGACGUUCAACUUUCCCUUGAAGAAAAAGAUCCCUUAGUUACUCUGUUUUACUCUAUCAAAUAGCCAAUUUUUUUAGCUGAAUUUAGUUAGAGUUGUGCAACAUAUGGUUUUCAAGAAGUUUGGUUCCCCCCCCAACCGAAAAGAACAAGCAAAACACCUCAUUUCCAAUUAGAUGUUCAACAACACCAAUCAAUUUAUUCAGAUCACAUAAAAUAAAUACCAGAAAAACACUUGGAACAAUUACGAAGCUUGGAGAAACUAGUUCGACGAACAACAAAAUUAAUCAAAGGUACCGCCUCCGAACCAGAAAAAAAAAAGGAAAAUUUUAAUUCCAAAACAGCAUCUUAGAUCUUCUUCUGGGACGGGUCCUGACCGAAAUCAUUGAUCUUGUCCAGAGGGCAGCGCCUGCGGUUGGUCUCCUCCACUUGCUUGGCCAUGGCCAAUCCAGAACGGGCCAGUUCCCUCAGGUUGGGAACGUCGUAGUUUUGGGCAACAUAGACUCCAAAAACACCUCCGAGCAUGAGCCUAAAAGUGGUACCAAAGAACCCCAUUGAUGUAUUUACUUGUGUUGAUUCUAUCUAAUCAAUUAUAUAAAACAAUAGCACAAAAAUUCCUCCCGGAAACGAAGUGGAAAUGAGUAGAUGGAACAUGAUGAUGAAUCUUGGAACUAAGUUUUACUGCUGUAAUAUAUACUUAUAUAGUGAGUGGGGUGUGAAGGAUGUUGGCUUAUUCUCCAAGUAUUUCCCUCCUGGCUACAACUCUCUGGUUUCUUUUGGAUUACGCUUUUGGGGAGUUUAUUUUUCUAAUCUUGAGAAGACAGCUUCGUUCCUCCUCCUCCAAGAGUCAAAGGUCAACGGCUUUCAUCAUCAUUAUUAUUAUUAUUUAAUGAGUCAACAUCAACAUGAGUAUAUUUAAAGAGUAAGAAGUAACAUAAAAUUAUAAGGACCAAUCUUUAAAUAUAUAUAGUAUGAGAAAGGCUAAUCCAAGUUUUGUCUUCUAAAUCCCUUUACAUUAUUGAAAUUUUCAUUCACAUCCUUGUACAAAUUAGACUUUGUGCCUCCCCUCCCACCCCCAAUAAAAGAUUGUAGAAAUCUUUUUAAUCUCCUUGAGACAUUAAAAGUUUUUUCUCGUAUUCUUGUAAAUAUUGGACUUUAUACCCCCAAACCUUUUACAGUAUUGCAAAGGGCCUCCCCGACCCUUGGCUCUGCUAGUGAUGUGAUUGGCUGAAAUUUAAGUUAAAUCUAAUCUAUGCUUGGGACUUUGUUCCAUCUUUCAUAGGCAGAACAGAAGGGUGUGCUUUGUCUGAAAGAGAGCCAUAUGUGGAGAGGGAUGAAAAUCUGCCUUAGUCAAUUGUUUAUUAUUUACAAUGUGCAAAAGAUCUGCUCUAGCACACAAUCAAUCUUGGAAUUGGUUAUCAAAAGAAAAAGAAGUUGUUUAUCGAAAGAAAAGAAAAAGAAGUUUGUUUGGAUCUAAUGAGCCAAUAUUUAGUGUUUGCCCAAAGACUUGGAAGUUUUUGCCUUGUGGGGACUCCAAAAGUGAUACGAAUAAUAACACUCUGCUUAAGAACAAAGAGUAAGACGCUUUAUUUAUUCAUAGCGAUCGCUAAACAAGUCAUAUAUAAUUAAGAACAAACAAAGUACUGAAAUUACAAGAAGUCACAAUUAAUUAGUAUGUAUGUAAGGUUUCAAAAUAUUGUUAAACAAGUCAUCUUAAUAAUUAGAUCUUGUUCUGAGGCCCGUCUGGACCAGCAUCAUCAUCCAUCUUCUUCUUGCUCUGCUGCUGCUGGGGCUUGCGGUAGGUCUGCUCUACCUUCUUGGCCAUCAAGAACCCACAACUGGCCAGCUUCCUCAAGUUUGGGACGUCAUAGUUCUGUGCAAUAUACACUCCAAUUACACCCCCGGCCAUGUACUUAAAACAGCUCCUGAAAAAUCCCAUGAUGUCGACUCGCUUUUUCCUUUUUCCCUUCACGUAUGCUUUCAGAUUAAGAGGAAAAACAACCCAUUGUCUCCACUCUAAUAGUAGGAAAUCAUUCAAAUUAAAGAGAUGGGAUUUGCGAUGAUUAUGAAGCCCUUUAUGUUUUGAUUUAUAUAUAUAGUGUCAAAACUCUGAAGGGGGUUGUCUUGUUAUCCAAGCCUUUCCUUCCCCUCCUCCAAGAGUCAACUCAACGGCCUUGCCUCCAAGAAAUUUCAUCAACAAUUUUUAGAUAAUACCAACUACCCAAAAAUGUUACUGGAGGUUUUGCUAAGCGUACAAUGCCAGUGCCAUGCACGAGGUGUCAAAUUCUAAUUCCGAUUUUUCAGCUUUGUGAAUUUGUCACAAGGGAUAAAACUACUUUUACGUAGGGAUGGGUAAAAUUGCUCAUUAACCCGAAAAUCCGUCAUAUCUGAUCUCAUAUUCAAAAAUUAGGAUAUUCGAUCCGUAUUAUUUGAUGAAUCAAAAGAAAAUCGGGUAUCCGCUUAGGUGCGGGGCUGGUUAGAGUGGGUUGAUUAAAAACUCGCGAGUACUCGACCCGACCAGCAUAUAUUUUUUAGUUUUUAAUUUUUAUAUAUACUAUAAAAUAAUAUUUUUAGAGCUAAAUAAGCAUUUUUCAUUGAACAAAUUGUAAUACAAUUAUGAGAGACUAUAGUUCAUUUAUAAGAUUUAUUUGCAGAGAUCAUGAUCUUAUAUUUUAUAGAAAAGAGGUUAAUUAAUGUGGAAUAUAUAUUUAAAAAAGGUGCUAUUUAUUUCAAACUUUUAUUGAUUAUGAAUUCUUUUAAUUUUUUUCUUUUUUUUUUUGUAUUCUCUUCACAUGUUUGUUUCUUGAUGGGAGAAUUUUUGAAAAUUUUUUUAUUAAAUCCUAGAUGAAUGUGUAAAGUGCAAAAUUAAAUUAGUAUAAAUCAUUUUUUUAAACAAGUAAAGGAUAAGUGGGGGCAGAACAAGUAACCGUUGAUCCAAGCCUAUCUUAGCGGGUACCCUAUAACUGAGUAUCCACUGAUGUGCGGGACGGAUAAGGAUCAGAACAUGGCUAACUGGCAAGAUAUGGGUCGAAUUAGCUAAAUGGUGCACGGGUCGGAUACCGGACCGUGCCCACCCCUACUUUUAUGGCAUUUGAUUGGUUGCUUUUUAUUGAAUUUAGGGAUGGAUGAAAGGGUAAAUCAUAAAUAUAUGACUUGAAAUCUUAGAAUAAUUUAUUGAAUGUCAUCCUUCGUGCAGAAGAAAUAAGAAAAAACUUAGCAAAAAAUAAUGGGAAAUUUUUUUUAUAACUAUGUAAAAAGAGGUUAAUUGUAACUACAAAAGAAAUGCAUGCUAGUCUCCACCGUAAUUAAAUUACCAAUAACUAUCGUUUUGCUAAGAUUUUGACGUCACAUGAUUGCGUGUGUUGUAAUUUAAUUACUUGGAACUACGAAAUACGGCUGAUCCAUGGCAGUUGUUUAAGGAGCAUUUCCCUAAACCCAAUCCAAGAAGUGGGAAGAAUUUCUCUAAUCUUGUAGAAUAUUUCUUUUUGCCGCUUAUCCACGGGCGGUAGUCCUACUUGAGCAGCUACCCAGUCCAAGUAUUCAUGCUGCCCCAACAAAAAGUUACAGAACUAAUUAAUUACAAAACAUUAGAUUUUGUUAACUUAAUUAGAGGGACAAAAAUAAUUACUAGCUAGCUGAGAUAAUCCAAACUGUACCAUAUUAAGGUCAAGUGAAUGAGUGUGGUGUUUUGGGAUUCCCUUCUCCUCCAAAAGCCGGUAACAUUGUUCAAGAUCAGCUGACAUAUCUUCUUCCGAUGGCAAGCUCACCUUGCCAGAUAAAACAGAGGCCACCCACUUGGCUUGUAAAUCGAUCAUGACAAAAUUGAUUGCCUUGUAAUCACCAAAAGUGACAAAAAUGCAUGAUUCAGUAAUUGGAUUAAGAGAGAGCAGUUUUAAUGAAAUUUGCUUGAAAAAAGAAUUGCCAUCCUGUAUGGUAUUUAAGCAGCAAUGCAUAAAACAACUUACCACGCGAGGUAUUCCAACAAAAGAAAGCCUAGGAGCAAGUUGUGGAGGGAAAACAUGCUUGUACAACGGUCCAACGCGAUUGUCAUCAUCAAUAGUUAUGACUCCAUUUGUUUUCAAGAAAGGCAAAUUAUACUUGUACCUGUGUUAGUUACAAUAAUUAAUGAAAAAAGCUUCAGAAAACUUUGAUCCAGCCUCUCUUACCAUGAACCUAUAUAUUAGUGUAUAUUAAUGGAAGGUUAAGUAGUUGAUUAUAGGCAAACAGCAUGUAAUUAGUACUAGUUGAUUAUAGAGAUGAAAAAUGGAAAUGGGUUGUGGUGGAAUAUUUUACCCAGUGCAGUGGAGAAUGGUAUCUGCUGUGACCAGAGCUCCAUCCUCAAAAGCUAUUUCACCAUUUUCAUAGCAAUUUGUGACCUAUAACAAGCUUGAAAAUGAAGUUGUAUGCUAGAAAUGACUUCAAGUAAAAUCAUGAGCUAAUGAGAAGGGAAAAAAAAAAACAAUCAUUUUGUGCUGCAACUCCAAAUGUCGUGGGGUGAUACAAAAUUACGUACCAUAGCAACAAAAUUCAAAUAAAAAUAAAUAAAUGAAAGCAUAUAGUAUAUACUUUUGAGUGCUGCCAUAGGUUGUCAUACAUGUCCCAUUUUUUGACCUCAAUUUCUUGGGACCUGGAAGAGAGAUGUACUUCUUUGGCUACCUCCACAAUUUCUAGGGAGAUAUCAUUGGCACUAGCUGCGCCUCCAAUAAUAACCACAACCUGUUUUUUUGAAAAAUUAAAUAUAAUGCAUUUCUCUGUUAUGCCUUCAUAAUUUACGAGUAUAUAAUAAGAGUACCGAAUGAAUGAAUACCUGAUCUCUAAAUGGCUCAGGAACUCGAUAAUUGUGGCAGUGAAUUUGUUUCCCCUUCCAGUUAUUGAUUCCUUCAAGGUAGUAAUCAGGUAGAAAUUAUCAAGCAAUUGCUAGUAAAUUAUCAGUAUUUAGUAGUAAAGUUGCUUGCGCUUGCAGCCACCCCCAACCAAAACAAAAGGAAAAAAAAAUUAAUUGAGCUAGCUAGCUAUUUGUGGAAAUUGUUUAACUUGAGAGUUGAGAUCGCCAUUGGUUUUGGAAAUUGUUUCUUGAAAUCAUCUUUAAUUGAAAUUAGAGAAUGUCAUAUUGACGUACUAAACUUACAAACUGAAAAUGCUCUAAUGAAUUUGAGAUUCUUAUAAAAAUAUGCUAGCUAGUGUAUAGACACUUGACAUUUUGAACAAAAACACACAUACAAUAGACUAUAGUUAGUGUAACUGACUUGAAAAGUUGAAGUUGGCCAAAAUAAAAAAACUGCAAAUGUUAGAAUUCCAGCUCCCAAGUACUAGGCUUAGAAAAUUCUAUACUCACAUCGAAUCCCCUCCCCCUCCCCCUAGAUUAGGUUAUAGGAAUUCUAUUGUUGUGACGACAAAAAAAAAAAAAAGGUACUAGGCCUAGAAUUCGAACACUUUGAAAGCCCUCUCCCGGUGGUUAUGGAACUAAUAAAAAUAUUCUUCAGAUGCAUUAAUUUCUUGGACUUGUUAGCGCAAGCAAACCUGGAAGUUCUGCCACUCUUGGUUGAGUGUUAUGUCCAUUACAAACCACAACGGCUUCGAAUGGCUCUUCUGAAAUCAACCCACCGUUUGAUCUCGACUCAACCACCCACUGAUCGUCAUUCCCCUGCUCAACUCGGACUACUUCUGUAUUCAGCCGAAUAAACUCGACCAGCCCGAAAUCUUCUGCAAAAUUAUUCAAGAACUGCAGCACCUCUUCAUGGCCGGGAAAAUCCAUUAGCACGCCGUCUUUAUUCUUGACAGUGAAGGGGUAAUCCCAAAAUCUCAUAAGCGGUCUUGGGAGGUUUGUCUUGAGUGAAUGGUAUAGACUGCUGUGAACAAUUUUUCUGCCAGGAUCAAGGCCUAGAGGGUCGGUCUCGACUUCAGGAUUGUACACCCACAUCCCACCAAUUUGGUCUGCUUUUUCAUAGACCACCACUUGAUGGCCUUCUGAUUUCAGUUCGCGGGCCGUGGUUAGGCCGGCAACCCCGGCUCCGAUCACUGCCACCUUCAGAGGUCGUGCCAUGGUAUAAAAUACAAUUGUGCAGCCAAAUGAAUACCGAGGAUGUGAACCUUGUUACGUAAGGCAUAAUGUUGAUGUUUAGUAUUUUUUAUUUGAAUUGUUCAACUAAAUUAGCAUUUCAGACUCGGAAUUUUGCUGCCAUGCACAUGGACAUAAAGCAAAUGACAAAGUAGGCUUGUCAAAAAAACUUGUGAGUGCCCAAAUUGACCUGUUCUUGACAUUUUAUUUUACUGUCACGAUAAUCACCAAAACAAUAAAAAAAGUUAUGUCUCUUUCUGGCUAAUUUACCAAUAUAUAUAUAUAUAUAUAUAUAUGUAUGUGCAUUAGUCCGAUUAAUAUCUAGUUAAAUAAAAAAGAAACUUCCAAAUUAAACAAACCUUGAGCCUUGACAACAUCUAAAACAAACGAGAUCAAGACAAAUUAAGGAUGCAUUAAUAUACCUGAAAGAAACAAAUAUGAAUAUUUCUAAAUGAUCAAAAACCUAUACAUCUACUCCCAAAAGUACAAAAUAAAAGGGGAAAAAAACCAUAUCAAUAUAUAGACAGCACCACGAAGGAAUGCACUUAUAAAUUAUCAUGGGAAUCCGAUCCUGGGGUCUUCUGGCUCGGGGGCUUGCGGUAGGUCUCCUCCAUAUGCUUGGCCACGGCUAUUCCAGUGCUGGCUAGUCUCUGGAUGUUUGGUAUGUCGUAAGUUUGUGCAACGUACACCCCAAAAAUGGUGCCCAAUAUGAAUUUGAACAUGCCCAUCUUCUUGCUUGAAAUUCGGAGUGAUGGGAUAUUGGGAAUUUGGUUGUGUGUUUGACCUAAAGGGAUGACGAAUUGAAUAGGAAAUCUUGUGGAGCAUUAUGCUUUUAAUUUGUGGGAUUAUAUGAUUGUAAUCAUCUCGUGCUGUCCAAGAAUUCAAUUGCUUGAAGGAAGGAUAUAAGUUUUGAACUCCUUUCCAGUUGGGCUGCAUUGUUUCCCCUUGUCCAAGGGUCAACCUUCCUACGUCUGACUUUGAAGUAGCACUACAAUUUACUGAUUAAAAUAGUAGCAUGUAUAGAAUCACUAGCUAGUUUUUUGGCAUCGACUGAGUUCCCAUGUCUUUUUUUUUUUUUGGGGGGGGGGGGGGGUAGAUUUCGGAUUUAUAUAUAACCAACAAGGUGUGCAUAUGCAUCAAGGUGUUUUCUCUCAAGUAUAUAUAAUAAUAAGUUUAUUAGUAAUUAGGCGCUUUAUAUAGAUUCACUUUAUAGAACAAAAAAAGUUCAACUUUUUUUAGUUUAAAUACAACUAUAAUGUUAAUUGUAAAGGCGGGCGGAAUUGCAAGUAAGAGGUCCUAAAUUCAAGAUUUUUCACUUACAUAAAAUAAAUAAAUAAAUAAAUGUAAGUGCAUGCAUUUAGAUAUUUAGAUAGUGAAUUAUGUGUGCUAAGGAAUAACAUUAGGACAUUCCUUGGAAAAAUCCUGCAAAUUUUUAUAAUCAUUAUUAGACCGAACAAUGUAAAGAAUAAUUCAAGCAUGAUAUCCUGCUAAGCCUUAUCAAAUAUUUAGUUAUUCCAACUUUCAACAUCUUGCUCCCUAAAUUUAAUCCACGAAGCUCCAGAAAUGAACUCAAAAAACUUGUGAUAAAUCUCCAAUAGCUCAGUGUCCACAGGAAAUCCGACUUGAGCAGCU
rnacentral:lncRNA from 1 species